ensembl:lncRNA
GUUGAAUGUCACUAGUUACUGGCCCUUGGCAAUGGUUUUCAUUUUUUUUCAUGCUAAUUGAAUGCUAUGUAUAUAAUUCCUGCAAAUUACAUUCCUUCAUUGAUACUGCUGUGUGAUUAAUUAUUUUUCCUCAGUAAUGCAGGAAGGCCUUUUUUUUUUUUUUUUUUUUUUUUUUGUUAGGCUCAUAUUACACAAAUAUUUUUUUUUUAUUUUUUAUUUUUUUCCCUAAAAAAUGUCAAUCAGAUGCAGCACAAUGCAACCCCACUGACAUGGUAGAGGGAAUGUCCGAGCACAUGGAUGCAGAAGACACAGCAGAAGGCAUCCAGACGAAGGCAGUGGAGGAAAUUUUAGAGGCCAUGUGUGAAAAUGGUGUACAACAGAUGGAAGAGUCCUCAGAAACAGCCACUACUGUAGCCAUUGUGAUGACUGAAGAUAAAGAUGGAGGCAAUUUGUGCUGUGUCUGCCGCGUCCAUUUUGAUGAUAACCAAUAAUUUCUUUAAAAAAAAAAAAAACGCUUUCUUGAGGUGAUUACAAAGAAAUUAAUUGACAUUUUAAAAAUGCUCAUGACAUGAGUUUUGGUAACAUGGACAUGGCUCCUGUUUUGAAAUACUGACCUUUAAACAUCACCUUGGUGCAUUUUUGAAGGCUUAUAAUUAAUUAUACAUUUAAAAUCUGAUUAGAUAGAUGUGUUUACAAUACCCCUAAACUCCUCACUGUACUCUCAACUCACUAUUUACAACCUCCAAUUCUAAGAAAAACACUAAUGUUUUAAAAACUACAAUUCCCUAUAGGUAAGCAAUGCAGCUUGAUACAAAUCAGCACUACAGUUGUAGUUUUUCUUUUUUUUGGCAAAGUAGGGUUGUAAAUUAGGGUUGUAAAAUGAUAUAUCUACUGAGCAUAUCAAAUAUCUAGUACAGCCAAACUAUUAAUUACACUGCAUCUAGAUGAAUACAAAGAAAUUAACUGACAUGCUUUCAAACAUGCUUUUUAAAUGACACGAGUUUUGGUAACAUGGACUGAGAAAACAUUCAACCAUUUUCUGCUUAGAAACCUUGUAAAAACUUUAAGUUGCCUGAGCUGGACCAAUACACAUUUUGAAUAGUUAAUUAUAUAUAGUAUUAGAUUCAGUCUUGGAAAAAAGAUGCUUAAUUUUGAAGAGAUACAACAAGCAAAUAUCACCCAUCGGGUGGAAUAGUCCAUUUACUCACCCUCAUGUAAUUCCAAACCUGUAAUAAGAUGUUUUGAAGAUUGCUGGUAAUCAAACAGUUGGUGGUUCCCAUUGACUUCCAUAGUAGGAAAAAAAAAAUACUAUGGAAGUCAGUGGGAACCACCAACUUUUACCAGCAAUUACCAGCAAUCUUCAAAAUAUCUUAUUUUAUGUUCAACAUAAGAAAGCAACUCAUACAGGUUUGGAACGACAUGAGGGUGAGUAAAUGAUGACAGAAUUUAAAUUUUUGGGUGAACCAUCCCAUAAAUAGAUAGCCUAUGUAUAUAAGCCAUGUGUGUCCCAAACAGAAAUGCAAAAUUCAUUAAUUAAGGUUACAGUUUGAUUAGUGUGUGUGUGUGUGUGUGUGUGUGUGUGUGUGUGUGUGGACGAGGUAUUCCUCAUGUUGUGGGGUCAUAAAUCUGUUUACACAGUCAGAAACAAAAAAACAAGCAAAUAGCUUCUUUUUAUAGGCUAUGCAUAUUGAGCCUUCAAAGAGCUCUCUGAAACUACACCCGAGAUUGCUUGUGCACGUGAAAUGAGAAAAUUAAAACUUUGUUGUAGAGCUAAACCACAUACAAUGUUAGAAAGGUCUUGACCUGGAGAGUAACAUAUGUAAGUAUGAAGAUUCUACAUGGCCCCUGUUUGGAAAUACUGACCUUUGAAACAUCACCUUGGUGCAUGUUUGAAGGCUUAUAAUUAAGCAAUAAAAGGGGCUACAGACAUGGGACCA